CCCCGGUCGCUGCAGAGCGCGGCCGCCGCGCGGGUGGGACCCGGCCGCGUCCCUGUGCCCCGCGGCUCCUUCCCGAUCCCAGCGAAGCCGGCUGCAUUCCCUGGGCUCGCCUGGCGCCUAGGCUUCAGUUUUCAGCAUGGCAGUGGACUGGCUCGGCUUCGGCUACGCCGCCCUGGUGACUUCAGGAGGGAUCAUUGGCUAUGCAAAAGCAGGUAGUCUUCCAUCAUUAGCUGCUGGCCUUUUCUUUGGGAGUUUGGCUGGACUGGGUGCUUAUCAGGUCUCACAGAAUCCAAAUAACAUUUGGGUUUCUCUGAUUACAUCUGGAGCACUGACUGCUGUCAUGGGAACAAGAUUUUACCACUCCAGAAAAUUCAUGCCUGCAGGGCUAAUUGCUGGUGUCAGUUUGCUAAUGGUUGGAAGAUUAGCACUGAAGAUGUUGGAAAAGCCCCAGGAAAAGUAACUGUUAAUUUUACAUCUUAGUAUUUGGAAAAGGAAACCUGAUCAUGAAGUUGCAUGAAUGCAGAAGUGAGAAGAUGGAAAAAUUUUCUGCAUCAAGACGUUUUUUAAUCUUCUUUUGUAAGAGGAGUAGAAUGAUGGUACAGAUAGUUUAUAUACAAGGAGAGUGGGUGUGCCUCUGCACAUCUGUCUUUACUAGGAAACCCUGGAUUCAGGAGGGUUCCUUGUUCUGUUGUGAUGCCUGAGGAUUGAAGUGUGGAAGAGGCACCAGUUACAUCUGGUGCUUUUGUUGUCACUCCAUCCUUGAUUGCUUCUCCUGCACUCAGUCUUGCAGUUCUGUUCAUGCAGGCACAGCUCAUGAGCUUAGCACUGUGAUGGAAGGGAGAGGCAAGAAAUGUGUGAAGGAAAAUCCUGUAUUAUUGAUAAAUUAGGAUUCUUACCAGGUGUAACUCUAUUUUGAAGUGAUAUUUUAUGUAGUGACUAUUUAGGAUUUUACUUUGGGACCUUUAUACGACUGAUUGUAUCAGAACCUUGUCAACUGCUUAACAUGAUAAUGGUAAAGCAGGUUUAAAUUAACUUACCUCUUACACACUUUCCAUUUUGUAGUGUUGAAAGGAAUUGAUAAAAAGUGUCUCAAACUGCAUAAAGCAGAUAUCAAACUACAUAAUUGCUCCAUUUUGUUGGUCACUUCAGUGCUUGUAUUUCCUUUUCUGAAAAUGGCAGUAUUGAGUCAGAGUGAUAUUUCUACUGUUGUGAGUCAGAGGUUACCCAUAUGGUAGUAGACAGGAAGCUAUUGUAGUAGAAAGUCAUAAUUACAAGCAGAUCUAUAGAUGUUGGGCCAGUUGUGCUUUGUGUUAUCAAUUCUCUUAGCAAAAGUUAUAAAAUUAAUUCCAGGUUUUUGUAUAUAUUUCAUAUUGUAACCUGUCUUGUUUCCAGGCACUUAAUCUGUAAAUAGACUGAUCUGUACAGGAUGAAUCUCCAGGGAGCAACACUGACAUGUUAAAUCAUGUCUGAAAUUCUAGUCUCAGUUAAAUCAUAGUCUCUUUUGACUAUAUUUUAAGCAAAAUCUAACAGAAUUUUUUGUAAUUACCUUUUUAUGUAUUUAAAUCACCCCAUGUAAUUGAACCAAAAAAUUCAUCACUGAUACAGAAUUUUCUAGAGCCAUUCAAGAAUUAAAGACAAAAAUAUCCUUUCUCCA